rnacentral:rRNA from 1 species
GACGAACGCUGGCGGCGUGCUUAACACAUGCAAGUCGAACGGAAAGGCUCUGCUUUUGUGGGGUGCUCGAGUGGCGAACGGGUGAGUAACACGUGAGUAACCUGCCCUUGACUUUGGGAUAACUUUAGGAAACUGGGGCUAAUACCGGAUAGGAGCUCCUGCUGCACGGUGGGGGUUGGAAAGUUUCGGCGGUUGUGGAUGGACUCGCGGCUUAUCAGCUUGUUGGUGGGGUAGUGGCUUACCAAGGCUUUGACGGGUAGUCGGCCUGAGAGGGUGACCGGCCACAUUGGGACUGCGAUACGGCCCAGACGCCUACGGGAGGCAGCAGUGGGGAGUAUUGCACAAUGGGCGGAAGCCUGAUGCAGCAACGCCGCGUGCGGGAUGACGGCCUUCGGGUUGUAAACCGCUUUCGCCUGUGACGAAGCGUGAGUGACGGUAAUGGGUAAAGAAGCACCGGCUAACUACGUG